AAUCUCGCUUUCAUUUCCGCGAAAACUCCUUAGUAUUCUGCCCUUCAGUUUUCAAAUAAAUUUCUCGAGUCAUUUCAGAAAUGUGAUUUAAGCCAAUAAAGCCAUGUUGCUGCCAUCCUGGUAAGUAAAGAGGGCGAAAGUGCACGGGGAAACGCCAGUAAUGCUGAAGUGAUGAAAGGAGGUUACGAGGCACGGUGACCGCAGAGACCUUGGCUGCUGGAAGGCCAGUUCGUCCCAGCUUCUUCCAUCUUGUUUCUGACUGCGGGAAGUCCGUGGAGGAAGACUAGGAACGCCAGCUUCCCCUUCAGCGGCAGCGUUUGCCCCAAGGGGCGGGGGGAAUGGUGUGCCCCUAAGCCUGGCCACCCAACUCGCCCCGGCCGAGCCCGCACCGCCUGGCUUCGACCCUCCGCACCAGCUCCUUGUGAGUCCACCCAGAUCUCCAAGGCUGCUCGGGGCUCGUCCAAACAGUGGCAAGACUCGCCUGCCUUGCCUGCCCAGUGCUGGUCAAGACAUCGCAUGCCCGGAGAGAAAAGCAGUGGAUGGGCAGAAAGAUGGUCAAAGGAAACAAAUAUUUAAAAUACGUGCCUGUAGGUGUUCAGGGAGAAGCAAAGGGUACUGCACAAACGGAUCAAUUUGUAUUCUUCCCGGCUAUAUCAAAUGCGGCAACAGAACAGUUACCUUAAAUCUCAGGUAAGUACAUCACUCUAAAGACAUGUGACCCUGGGAAACA